UCGGAAUGCCAUAAACAGUGUUUCAAGGUUUCUUAGUUUUGCUUCAGCAUCUUGGUUUUUGCUGUUUGCUUUUCUGUACAGCUGAUGGUCAGCAAACAUUAAUUUGAAAAUCAUUACCCUGUUUGUCAUUUAAUGUUGACAGAUGAGGAACCUUUCCAACUGACUUUUAUUCAUUGUACUGUGUUCCUGGCAUUGACUCAGUUAAACUUUGACAAUUUACACCUGUAAAACAUGGAUACUAGAGAACCUCUGUUUUGUUUCAGAGGUUUUCGGUAGCCUGCUUCUUUUUUGCUUUCCUUAUGUCGACUGCAUUUGUGUUUAGAUGAGAAGACUCAAAUAUUACUGAUGUUAAAAUAAUGAAAUGGCACUUUUCCUACCUCAAGGAACAUACCCAAUAAAACUAGUAAGCAUCAUUCUGAAACUAAUACAAAUUUUUGUUCUGUUGCAGAGUUUGUAGCAGAAUGGCAAAUUGUAGUAGAAUGGCAAAAGUCAGCAGCUUUUCUGACAAACCUUAGAAAAUCAUGGGCCUUGCUUACUGAUCAGUGAUUUCAUAUCUCUGACAAGUCAACAGAUACAAAUUAGCAUUGAGAAUGCUUGAUUGCUCAUCAAACCUAAGACCUUAUUGAAAGAAUCUUGCAAUAGAUUGGACUGAAGCACAAAAGUUUUCUUUACUGAAACAUUUAGAGCUCUCUGAUGUGCUCUCUUAGUAUUUGCACCAGGUAGUUAUGGCUGUGGGUGUUGCAGGGAGCUGCAGGUGUGCCCUCAGUAGCUUGCUAGCCUUUGUGCACCUUGCUUCUGUAUGAGGCUUCUGCUGCAUGGCAACCUACAAAUGUGAGGUUUCAUCUGGCUUAGAGCCACAGGAGUAAAUAAACUUCUCAGAUACUGUACAGAGGUCUGUCUUCAUAGCUACUGGCUGUUUAGAGAAACUAAGAUAACUUUUUAUUUACUAAACACAGUAAUAACAUUUCAACUUUAAUCAAAACUUUAUAUUAACAGAAAGUGAAUAAUGCUGUUUGUGAUCUGACUCUCCAUCAGAGGCCUUUCUUCUUUAGUCUUUGUCCAGUGCACCUAGGAGCUUGGGUGGGAGAGAGAAUGGGGUGAAUUGAGGGUUAUGUUUGGAAAUAUUUUAUCAGUUAAGUUCAGUUUAGAGUAGAUAAUAGCAGUAGGUAAGAGACUAACUGGUUCCUUUUCAGCUAUGGAAGUAAUCAGCUGGGGUGGUCCCAGGGUGCUCUGGGCACAAGUAUUGCUGAGUGAUCAUUGGCUGCCACCUGUGUGACAAAGUAAAGGACCAACCCUUCAAUUUAUACUGGUGGAGCCAGAUCAUGGGAAACAAUUGACAGAGUUGUUAAGCUUAUGCUUAGCCCAAUGUGAUACAGGACUGGUGCGACAACUCGUUUUUAAUCAGUGACUCAAAAUUGUGAUCACCCUGAUGUCACCAAAUGGCUACAGCUUGUAAAAGAUCACCAGGAGAACCUCACUCUGAAAACAUUGAAACUAGCCGAAUGUAAGUAAAUGAGCGGAUGAGUUUGGUAUCUCUUCUUUAAAAAUGUUUUGAACAAAUGUAACAGUUACUAUUGCACCUACUUAAAAAAAAAAAAAAUCACAGUUUCUACAGAGGCUUA